rnacentral:rRNA from 1 species
ACUCCUACGGGAGGCAGCAGUGGGGAAUUUUGGACAAUGGGCGAAAGCCUGAUCCAGCAAUGCCGCGUGAGUGAAGAAGGCCUUCGGGUUGUAAAGCUCUUUUGUCAGGGAAGAAACGGUGAAAGCUAAUAUCUUUUGCUAAUGACGGUACCUGAAGAAUAAGCACCGGCUAACUACGUGCCAGCAGCCGCGGUAAUACGUAGGGUGCAAGCGUUAAUCGGAAUUACUGGGCGUAAAGCGUGCGCAGGCGGUUUUGUAAGUCUGAUGUGAAAUCCCCGGGCUCAACCUGGGAAUUGCAUUGGAGACUGCAAGGCUAGAAUCUGGCAGAGGGGGGUAGAAUUCCACGUGUAGCAGUGAAAUGCGUAGAUAUGUGGAGGAACACCGAUGGCGAAGGCAGCCCCCUGGGUCAAGAUUGACGCUCAUGCACGAAAGCGUGGGGAGCAAACAGGAUUAGAAACCCCAGUAGUCCC